rnacentral:rRNA from 1 species
GAUGAACGCUGACAGAAUGCUUAACACAUGCAAGUCGAUGGAGAAGUGGUGCUUGCACCAUGGCAACCAUGGCGGACGGGUGAGUAACGCGUAAGGGACUUACCUGUAGGACUGGGAUAACAGGGGGAAACUCCUGACAAGACCGGAUAAUGUCAUGGAGCUGCAUGGCUUUAUGAUGAAAGGAGACGCCUGCGGAGAGCCUUGCGUCCUAUUAGCUAGUUGGUGAGGUAAUGGCUCACCAAGGCGAAGAUAGGUAGCCGGCCUGAGAGGGUGGACGGCCACAAGGGGACUGAGAUACGGCCCUUACUCCUACGGGAGGCAGCAGUGGGGAAUAUUGGACAAUGGGGGCAACCCUGAUCCAGCAAUUCUGUGUGCACGAAGAAGGUUUUCGGAUUGUAAAGUGCUUUCAGCAGGGAAGAAGUAAGUGACGGUACCUGCAGAAGAAGCGACGGCUAAAUACGUG